rnacentral:piRNA from 1 species
UCUGAAUGAUGUGCUUGGUCAAGCUAG